ACGGCUCAGUAACACGUAGUCAAUCUACCCUAUGGACGGGAAUAACCUCGGGAAACUGAGAAUAAUGCCCGAUAGAACAUUAUGCCUGGAAUGGUUUAUGUUUCAAAUGAUUUAUCGCCAUAGGAUGGGACUGCGGCCUAUCAGUUUGUUGGUGAGGUAAUGGCCCACCAAGACUAUUACAGGUACGGGCUCUGAGAGGAGUAGCCCGGAGAUGGGUACUGAGACACGGACCCAGGCCCUAUGGGGCGCAGCAGGCGAGAAAACUUUGCAAUGUGCGAAAGCACGACAAGGUUAAUCCGAGUGGUUUCUGCUAAAGAAACCUUUUGUCAGUCCUAGAAACACUAACGAAUAAGGGGUGGGCAAGUUCUGGUGUCAGCCGCCGCGGUAAAACCAGCACCUCAAGUGGUCAGGAUGAUUAUUGGGCCUAAAGCAUCCGUAGCCCGUUUUGUAAGUUUUCGGUUAAAUCCAUACGCUUAACGUAUGGGCUGCCGGGAAUACUGCAUAACUAGGAAGUGGGAGAGGUAGACGGUACUCGGUAGGAAGGGGUAAAAUCCUUUGAUCUAUUAAUGACCACCUGUGGCGAAGGCGGUCUACCAGAACACGUUCGACGGUGAGGGAUGAAAGCUGGGGGAGCAAACCGGAUCAGAUACCCGGGUAGUCCCAGCUGUAAACUAUGCAAACUCAGUGAUGCAUUGGCUUAUGGCCAAUGCAGUGCUGCAGGGAAGCCGUUAAUUUUGCCGCCUGGGAAGUACGUACGCAAGUAUGAAACUUCCCGGAAUUGGCGGGGGAGCAC
rnacentral:rRNA from 1 species